AAAAUGUUUUAACUCGGAAGGAUCUGGAUCACAGGACAUUUCAUCUGAGAUCAAUCCGCACGCAACAGCUGGAAUCACUUACUGGUUCACACAAGGAAGGACCCAAGUCAGCCGUUUCCUCAAGUUCACGUCAGAGGGAUACAUAGCGAGACAGUCUCCGCUUGGACUGGCUGAGGAAAGUCUCCUAAAUGGCCCUGGAGAUGUUCUGACUGACUUUGGAGGCUUUUUGGACUGUUUUAUGCCCUCUAUUUAAAGACUUAAUUCUGUAUGUUCAGUCUGUAUGAUAAGUGAAUAAGUGAAUAAAAAGCUUUUGUUUUUAUGUGA